GAGUGAACGCUGGCGGUAGGCCUAACACAUGCAAGUCGAACGGCAGCCCAGUAAGAGCUUGCUCUUACGGGUGGCGAGUGGCGGACGGGUGAGGAAUACAUCGGAAUCUACUUUUUCGGGGGGGAUAACGUAGGGAAACUUACGCUAAUACCGCAUACGACCUACGGGUGAAAGCAGGGGAUCUUCGGACCUUGCGCGAUUGAAUGAGCCGAUGUCGGAUUAGCUAGUUGGCGGGGUAAAGGCCCACCAAGGCGACGAUCCGUAGCUGGUCUGAGAGGAUGAUCAGCCACACUGGAACUGAGACACGGUCCAGACUCCUACGGGAGGCAGCAGUGGGGAAUAUUGGACAAUGGGCGCAAGCCUGAUCCAGCCAUACCGCGUGGGUGAAGAAGGCCUUCGGGUUGUAAAGCCCUUUUGUUGGGAAAGAAAAGCAGCAGGUUAAUACCCCGCUGUUCUGACGGUACCCAAAGAAUAAGCACCGGCUAACUUCGUG
rnacentral:rRNA from 1 species